rnacentral:rRNA from 1 species
CGGCAACAGCUCAAAUUUGAAAUCUGGCUUUCGGGCCCGAGUUGUAAUUUGUAGAGGAUACUUUUGAUGCGGUGCCUUCCGAGUUCCCUGGAACGGGACGCCAUAGAGGGUGAGAGCCCCGUCUGGUCGGACACCGAGCCUCUGUAAAGCUCCUUCGAC